CUUACAGAUACUCUACUCCAAUUCAUGCAAUUCUCGAUUACGUUUACACCCGAAUAUGUGCGUAAGAGGAUAGCCCUCUUCCAGGCCCCAUUUUCCGCGUUUUUUAAUUAUUUAUUUCCGUGUAAACUGCAGUCUUAAUACAAAAUCAUUGAUGGUCGAUAAUUUAGCCCUGCGUUGAGGGCACCGGGGAGAACUGCAAAGGAUUAAAAACUCAUCCAAGAGCUCACUUUUUUAUCCAGAGACAUGGCUCGACCACGACCGCGGGAUUACACGGCAGGAGAUUUGGUUUUCGCUAAAAUGAAGGGAUACCCGCACUGGCCGGCGAGGAUUGAUGAGCUUCCAGAGGGAGCAGUCAAACCCCCUGCCAACAAGUACCCCAUCUUCUUCUUUGGUACCCACGAAACUGCAUUCUUGGGCCCGAAGGAUCUUCUACCAUACAUGGAGUAUAAAGAAAAAUUUGGCAAGUCCAACAAGAGGAAAGGCUUCAACGAGGGCCUGUGGGAGAUCGAGAACAACCCUGGAGUCAAGUUCACAGGCUAUCAGGUCAUUCACCAACAGAGUUCAUCAGAAAUAGAAGAAGGGGGGAACACUGCUGAUGGCAGCAGUGAGGGAGAGGAGGGUGACUCUGUUGAGGAGGAAGAUGACAAGGAGAAGUUGAAGGGGGACAAGACCAGAUCCAAACGGAAAAAGACAGCCACCUCCAAGAAGUCCCCCAAGCUGUCGAGGAUCUCUUCUGGAGAGGAUGACCUAAAGAAGGAUCAGAAAGAUGAUGACCAGAAGAGCGGCUCAGAGGCAGGAGACCCUGACAAUGACAUCCAAAAUACUACCGACAUGUCAGUGAUGUCUCUACAAUAAGCUGGUGCCCUCUGCCGUUGCGGCCGUGUAGCGACCCCAGACAACUAUCAGCAUGUGUCAACGAACAAGCUUCUCAUAGAAGAACAUUAAGAGAUGAAAGCCUGAAGAGGAAAUCAGUCUGUGUAGCUGUGAUGUUGGAAAGGUGAAUCUACAAAAUAAUCUCUCAUCAGCACUAUCUACUGGCUGCCAUCGUCACCUCCACUUCUUCUUGGGACUUCCAGUAUGUGUUUUGUGUGAAAGAUGCACCCAUCCUGCUAUUCAUAGCGCUCAUGUGGAUGCCAGGUUGUAACUGGCCAUUAUGUCACACUGUUUCUUCAGCACAUAAACUUGAUGCCAGUAUCUGCAUCAGAAAUCGAAGCAAGUUGUCAUCUUUAAAACUCUCAAUCACAAAUUAAAAUAGUUAAUCACUUUUAUUGAGUGACUCUGAAAGCUUGUUAGUUUAUGUUGUUGAAUAAACUAUUUCUAGGAUAUUUAAAGGGGCAUUAAGUACUUGAAGACUUUUAUUGUGUGCUAUUGGCAAACAUUAGGAGCACUGAUAACAUUAGCAGUGUUUAUACAAAGCCUUUUUUCUACUAGGAUCUGACUGAUAGCCCAAUCAGAAUAAAAUGUUUGGAAUUGUAUACUCCUUUCAUAACCUGUUCAGUGAAACUUAUUUAUUAAGUCAUUUGUGGGUAGUGUGGGUGGCUGCAAGAAUAUAAUUAAAUAUGUUGCUUCAAUAGAAAACGUUGCAGUAAAAUGUCUUCCCUUUCUUUUGCUUUAGUUCAUUUAAAAGGUCCCAUACUAUGCUUAUGUCCAAGCACCAGGGUGUCUACAAGAAUAGGUGUAAAUGCUUUAAUCUCUCAAAAAAAACAAACACACACAUUAAAUUUCUCAUGCCGUCUACCUCUGCAGUACCUCCAAUACCCCUCCUGAAAAGCCCAGUCUGUUUUGAUUUGUCAGCUUUUUAGUGGCAGGCAUCCCACUAUGUUUCAGCAUCUUCUUUGUUUGUGUUUUUGCAAACAUGGCCAUGAUGAUGGCAGUGACUGUGUAGUCAUCACAGCUCAUUCAAAGGAACAGUGUCUGAAUUUGCGCUGUGUGACUUUGUUUGGAUUGAGCAUUUUAAUCCUAUCGCAGUAUUUGUAUAGCAGCUCGACCUGCUUUAUAUUAAAAGAUGACAAACACA